rnacentral:rRNA from 1 species
UUUCAGGUUUAAUUCUUUCUGUCUCGCAUSCAGUCKAACGAKKAUCCSRUGCUUGCAUCGGGGAUUAGUGGCGAACGGGUGAGAAACRAAAWGRGUAACCUGCCCUUAACUUCGGGAUAAGCCUGGGAAAMMRGGUCUAAUACUGGAUAUGACUGCUGGCCGCAUGGCCUGGUGGUGGAAAGCUUUAUGCGGUUUUGGAUGGACUCGCGGCCUAUCAGCUUGUUGGUGAGGUAAUGGCUUACCAAGGCGACGACGGGUAGCCGGCCUGAGAGGGUGACCGGCCACACUGGGACUGAGACACGGCCCAGACUCCUACGGGAGGCAGCAGUGGGGAAUAUUGCACAAUGGGCGAAAGCCUGAUGCAGCGACGCCGCGUGAGGGAUGAAUGCCUUCGGGUUGUAAACCUCUUUCAGUAGGGAAGAAGCCGCUUCGGCGGUGACGGUACUUGCAGAAGAAGCGCCGGCUAACUACGUGCCAGCAGCCGCGGUAAUACGUAGGGCGCAAGCGUUAUCCGGAAUUAUUGGGCGUAAAGAGCUCGUAGGCGGUUUGUCGCGUCUGCUGUGAAAGCCCGGGGCUCAACCCCGGGUCUGCAGUGGGUACGGGCAGACUGGAGUGCAGUAGGGGAGACUGGAAUUCCUGGUGUAGCGGUGAAAUGCGCAGAUAUCAGGAGGAACACCGAUGGCGAARGCAGUCUCUGGGCUGUUACUGACGCUGAGGAGCSUAAAGCAUGRGGARCMGAAMARGAUUAAAUACCCUGGUAGUCMAUGCCGUAACCRUUGGGCACUAGUGUGGGGGACAUUCCACGUUUUCCSCGCCGUAAUCYWAAGCAMUU